UACGUAGGUGACCAGCGUUGUCCGGAUUUACUGGGCGUAAAGAGCGCGCAGGCGGUCGUUCAAGUCGAGUGUGAAAGCCCCCGGCUCAACUGGGGAGGGUCAUUCGAUACUGAUCGACUUGAAGGCAGGAGAGGGAAGUGGAAUUCCCGGUGUAGUGGUGAAAUGCGUAGAUAUCGGGAGGAACACCAGUGGCGAAGGCGACUUCCUGGCCUGUUCUUGACGCUGAGACGCGAAAGCGUGGGGAGCGAACCGG
rnacentral:rRNA from 1 species